rnacentral:rRNA from 1 species
CAGCAGCCGCGGUAAUUCCAGCUCCAAUAGCGUAUAUUAAAGUUGUCGCAGUUAAAAAGCUCGUAGUUGAAUUUCGGGGUCAGUAGGUCGGUCGURCCACUGGUAUGAACUGGUUUUACUGAUUCCUCCCUCUUGAAGAACUGUAAUGCCAUUAAUUUGGUGUUGCAGGGAAUCAGGACUGUUACUUUGAAAAAAUUAGAGUGUUUAAAGCAGGCUUUAGCUUGAAUACAUUAGCAUGGAAUAAUGAAAUAGGACGUUUGAUCCUAUUUUGUUGGUUUCUAGGAUUGACGUAAUGAUUAAUAGGGAUAGUUGGGGGCAUUAGUAUUCAAUUGUCAGAGGUGAAAUUCUUGGAUUUAUUGAAGACUAACUACUGCGAAAGCAUUUGCCAAGGAUGUUUUCAUUAAUCAAGAACGAAAGUUAGGGGAUCGAAGACGAUCAGAUACCGUCGUAGUCUUAACCAUAAACUAUGCCGACUAGGGCAUCGAAGGGGAUGUUAAUUUUUUAAUGACUCA